GCCCGCCUCUACCGCCCUACCGGAGGGUUCGCAUUCUCCCGCCUUCCCGCCGCCACCCGGGCGAUUGGUCUGUCAACUCUCGGCCCGGCCAAACGGCAGGCCGCGCCCCGCCCCCUCUUAAAGGAGAACGACCGGCAGGCCCCCCCUUUCCGCCCCGGCUCGGAAAGGGACUGGCGAGCGACGGUGGGGACCCCUGCCUUGCCUCCUUCCCACAGGGCGGGGGGAAACACGGCCCGGGUCCCUCGGCCCGCCAUUACCGACUUCUUCCCCAUCGGCGGAUCUAGCGCGGCCCCAAGCGAGCCUUAAAAGGAGCAGCAGGCGGCCGCUUUUCGCUGCAACCUGGAAUUGGAAUCCGGUCUUCCUUGAAGGCCCCAAAUAAUGCAAGAUGCCUUGUUUUCCGGUAGACUGUGAGCGCACCGACGGAUUUUAUUCAGCCCGGGAAGUGAUCUGCAGGCAGAAGUGAGCAAGGCAGUGGGGCCGAAUGCUGAGAGCACUCCCUCAGGAACCCAGAGCGAGGUGCGAGGAAGGAAGGAUGAGUGUGGGGAGGGAGGCCUUUUCUGGCGUUAUUUUCACCUUUCAUAAUUCAGAUGAACAGGCAGAAAGGAAGCAAAAAUGUGCACAUGAUGAUUUUUUUCAGCUUGUGUUGGUCUAAACCUAUAAAGAACACUCUAAGAUGGUAAUA